AACAAGGCGUACCUGCGGACCUGCGGAGGGAUCAUUACCGAGUUUACAACUCCCAAACCCCUGUGAACAUACCUAUAUGUUGCCUCGGCGGAUCAGCCCGCGCCCCGUAAAACGGGACGGCCCGCCGCAGGAUCCACAAACUCUGUUUUUAUUGUAACUUCUGAGUAACAAAACAAAUAAAUCAAAACUUUCAACAACGGAUCU
rnacentral:misc_RNA from 1 species